rnacentral:tRNA from 1 species
UGGACUGUGGCGCAACUUGGUAGCGCACUACACUAGGGGUGUAGGGGUCGCAGGUUCAAAUCCUGUCAGUCCGACAA